AUUGAACGCUGGCGGCAGGCCUAACACAUGCAAGUCGAACGAGUGGCGGAGGGGUGAGUAAUGUCUGGGAAACUGCCUGAUGGAGGGGGAUAACUACUGGAAACGGUAGCUAAAACCGCAUACCAUCGGAUGUGCCCAGAGGGGAUUAGCUAGUAGGUGGGGUAAAGGGUCACCUGGGCGACGAUCCCUAGCUGGUCUGAGAGGAUGACCAGCCAAACGGGAACUGAGACACGGUCCAGACUCCGACGGGAGUCAGCAGUGGGGAAGAUUGCACAAUGGGCGAAAGCGUGAUGCAGCCAUGCCGCGUGGAUGAAGAAGGCCUGCGGGUUGUAAAGUACUUUCAGCGGGGAGGCGUUACCUGCAGAAGAAGCACCGGCUAACUACGUGCCAGCAGCCGCGGUAAUUC
rnacentral:rRNA from 1 species